ACUCACGAGUUGCGAGUCACGACUCCAUGAAUCUCCAGUCUCUCUUACUCGUCUCUCUGAAACCAACAAACCAAAUAUUCUUGAGCGACUUGAGAUUCACACUCAAUCUCCGACUAUAAUCACCAAAAUAGAAGAAAAUUAGCACCCAAUUUUCCCUCACUUUCUUUCACUUUCCAUUCCAAGAUAGAUCCUCCAAGUUUUCCUUCCCACCACCACCAUGUCCACAACCACCACUGUUGGCUGCUUCAAGAUUGGUGGCAUCACAUAAAGAUUCCCUCCUGCUCUUCCUCCUCCUCCACCUCCUCUUCCUCAAUGUUCUCCACCUCAUUCGUUCUCUCCUUCUUUCUCUUGCUUUCUGUACCGAUCCUCUUCUUGUUGGCCCCGCAUAUCCUUCCGCCUCGACAAACCUUCCCCAUCCCUGCCAAGGAUGAGUUCGACGAUCUGUUGCUCUUCCGCCGUGCCGCCUCCGAUUCCCACCAUUAUUCCCAUCUCUCCUCCCCCAACCCUAAGCUCAAGAUCGCUUUCCUCUUCCUUACCAAUUCCGAUCUCUACUUUGCCCCUUUGUGGGAGCGAUUCUUUCCUUCCAAUCGUGAUCUCUUCAAUGUCUACGUCCACGCCGACCCCUCUGUCAAUGUCACCCAUCCUCGGGGAGUAUUCGAGAAUCAGUUCAUCUCUGCGAAGCGGACUUUCCGGGCCUCCCCUACUCUUAUCUCCGCCACACGCCGCUUGAUUGCACAUGCCCUCAUCGACGAUCCCGCCAACGCAUUCUUUGCUGUCCUAUCGCAAUACUGCAUCCCCCUGCACUCAUUCCAUUACGUCUACGACUCAAUUAUCUCGUCGCGAUCCUUUGAUUCCUCCACCGACGAUUCCGACACCGGGUUGACUCAGUACGGGGUUCGCAUUAGGUAUAAGAGCUUUGUUGAGAUCAUCUCGAAGGAACCUCGUCUCUGGAAGCGCUACAUUGCCAGAGGGAGGUCAGCUUUGUUGCCGGAGGUGCCCUUCACUAAGUUUAGGGUAGGAUCUCAGUUCUUCGUUUUGACUCGCCGACACGCGCUCAUGGUAAUCAAAGAUAGAGCGCUUUGGAAGAAAUUCAAGCUGCCUUGUUACAGGGCAGAUGAGUGUUACCCGGAGGAGCACUAUUUUCCUACUCUGCUGUCAAUGCAGGAUCCAGAUGGAUGCACACAUUACACGUUGACUAGGGUUAAUUGGACGAGCACCACAAAUGGCCACCCCUACACUUACUCACCGGCUGAGGUAUCGCCGGAGUUGAUUCACCAACUUAGGAAAUCGAAUUAUUCGAGUUCUUACUUGUUUGCUAGAAAGUUUUCCCCUGAUUGCUUAAGACCGCUGUUGAAGAUGGCCGAUAAAGUCAUUUUCCAGGACUAAAAAUCUUUUCAGUCCUUUUAGGUUCCUGUGUUGUUGGGAAUGAUGAGAGAUUGGAUAAAGUUUAACUGAAGAUACAAUGUCUAUGGGCCAGUGCAGGACACACAUUUGUUUGCAUAACUUGAAAUUUGUCGGUAAGCGAUGCAUUGUGUGAUAGCCAAAUGGUGCUGUUUCUGAGGUAAUUGGUCCCAAUGAAUUUGACAUGCAAGUGCGAAUAAAGAUGUUGGUUUGGGAUGUGGGAGAGGGGAAUGGAAAGAGGAAUCCUUUGUGUGACUAAAUUUUGCUGGGGAUUAUGGUGUUGAAGAGGCGUAAAGUGCCCACAACCUAUCAAAACCCCAAAAAGAGGUUCACCUUGACAAGAGUCUUCGGACGCACAAGGAAGCAAAAGUAGUGGAAGCAAAGGCAUAUACUUUUGCUAAAGGUAUGGGUGUAACAAUACCAGAUGGCAGUAAUAGGGUUUUUGUCCUUCUGUUGCAUGCUAUGUACAUGUGUUAUGAAUGUGAAGCCAUGAAUGAAUAUACUUACAAGUGAACAAUGUACUAUCCGUGAGUUCCACCCGAGGGAAAAAAGAAAAAAUUGAAGCCAUCGGGGCUAAAUUUAGGCCCCAUACAUUUUUUGUUUCAAAGACUGGGAUCAAGAGCCGCACUUUUUGGCUGUACAUUGCCCUCUCCAUUUUUUUGCUUUCUUUGAUGUUCUUUUUUUCUUUCUUGCAACCAUUUUUUCACAUAAAA